GCAAAAUCUCUUUUUUUUGGAUUUUUGAGUUACAGUAUUUUUUUUCAAAUACAAAGUAGAAAGUACAAUAACAAAAGACUCGACAUGACUAUACAAAAUUAGAAAGUAAAAGACGACAUAAAAUGAAAAUUAGACUCAAAAUAAUAAAAAAUCUCCUUAAGCAACUCCUGAAUGAGUGAUCCUGACUGGAUGGUCCCAGGCUGUCUGUCAUGCUCAAACUCCGGUAAGUAGACUCACACCUGUAUGAGAAAAUUAAGACCAAAGAAGUUAAAGACCUAGAACGCUAUGUGAGACAAUAACCCUUCCUGUUGAACACAUGCAAGGCAUGAUUGUGACUAUUUUUCUAAAAUUAACCUAUGUGGCUAAAAGUGGAUAAAAAUGCAGGAUUUGGCUAAGACCCCGCGAAGCGAAGAACCUAAGACUCACUAGGAAGACCGGACCCUAUGUGGGUUGCCUACGUAUCACGCCCCGAAAGACGAGAAUCAGAUAUGCAUAGUUCGGGCAGAUUGGAUACGGGCGAGAAUUAAAAAAAGCACUGAUUUGAAGAAAAAUAUAUUUUUUUGUCUUUUUUUUGAAAAAUAAUGAAACAUGUAAACUCUUUUUGGAUUUUCUUUUCCUUUUAUUUUGAUUUUUGGAAAAUGAUGGGAAAGUGCAAAAUCUUUUUGAAUUUUUUCAUUUUCCUUUUUUUUGUUCUUAAAAAAAUGUAAAAGAAAAACAUAAUUGGGCCCUGCUUGAUUUAUUUUCACGUUUCACCCUCUUUUCUUUCUCAUUUACCCUCAAUCAUCAUUGGUCCGACAAAUGACCCUUUUUACCCUUGAAGAUUGCAAACAUGUGGCACAUAGGAUGCAUCGGGAUGAUCUUUUAUUUUUGGGUACACUUGUCCUAGACGGACCCACCCCUGUGUUGAGUCCCCAAAGUCAAAUGUACGUGAUGCAAACAAACGUUCCUACUAGGGAUCCGGCAUAAGAUUAUAUUAUUCUAAGUUUAAACCUGGGGUUGUGUUCUUGACCUGGCUUACACGAGCGGACAACUCAAGCCGAAGAGGGGGCAAUGUACCGGGAGCACGAAAUUCUAUCCGGCCUUGAUACUAGCCCAGCCUCGUUCUAUUUGGUAUAAAUUCUAACAAAAGUACGUGUGCACCAUAUUUUCAGAAAACUCAAAAGGGAGGCGUAAAAAGGCUUUUUAAUAUAGUUCAAAUAAUAUCAAAGCGGUAAAUAAACGAUAAUUAGUACAUUAGGUCCACAAAUACAGUAAUAUCAACAAAUAAUAAAGCCAAGAAUAGAUCAUAUUAGCAAGCUCGAAUUCUUGAACCUAGAACCAGAAGUUUGGGGGUGUGUUCCCCAGCAGAGCAGCCAGAGUUGUCACACCUCCUUUUUACUACCCCCGGAAAGGGGUAUAAGAGAGUUUUUCCAAUUUAAGUAACAAUCGAAAUGGGAUUAUUUAUAUCAAAUUCAGAGUUGCCACUUGGGAUAAUUUAUGGUGUCCCAAGUCACUGGUUUAAAAUCCCGAAUCGAGGAAGUUUGACUCUAUUUAAGGUCUGCGAACAAAGAAAUUCAGGUAAGGAAUUCUGUUAACCCAAGAGAAGGUAUCAGGCAUUCUCGGGUUCCGUGGUUUUAGCACGGUCUCUUUGAUUAUACCUGGCUUAUUAAAUUGUCUAAUUACUUAUUUUAGAACCUAUGUACAUUUUUCUUCUUUUAAUUAAGCAAUUAUCAUAAAACGAGUCACGCGUACGUGUACUCAUUUCAUUCGGUGCGUCAAGAAUCAUGUCACGUGUACGUGUGCACAAUUAAUCACGCUUUGUUGAUAUUAAGAAAGUUUGGCCGAAGUUGUGCGAACGCAUAUCUCGAUUUAUUUUGAAAAUCAUAAUUAUGUCAUGCAAACGUAUAAACAAUCACCAUUUAUUUUUUGAUUUUAGUACAAUCCACGCUUGUCCUAUCAAUGCCCAAUAAAUAAAAUGAAUCAUAGAAUGAAUCUAGCUUAUUGAUAUGUUUCAGAAAACUUUACUAGCAUCAUCCAUCUGUUUUUAUGACAAACUUGUGCUUGAUUAUCAAAAUUUAUACUUUUAAGUCCCCACCUUUCGCCUUCCUGGUACAGUCAUUAAUUCUUGAAGAGAAAUUGAAUGUACGCGGUAUAGAUUUGAACCAAUACAUAAAGUAGUUCAAUGAAAAUUCUUUUAAAGCCACAUCGAAUAGAACCCAACACUUAAAGUCCAAAAUUACUUUUAAAGUUACUACUAAUACCAUUCCAUUAUUCAAUCUUUCCUAUGAAUUCUGCUUUUCAUUAAACCAAACCUAAAUCAAUCAUGGCUAGACCAAAUUAUAAAAAUACUACUGUAAAAACAAAUUAUGAUGAACAAACAUUGAAGUAAGUAUACUAGAAGAUAUCAAUAUGAGGAGCAUUAUUUUAUUCCACUCAGAGAGGCAUAAAAACUCAUUAAUCAGAAAGAGGAAAAGAUAUGGACCUCAAAAAUCUUUGACUGAACGGAUUAAACAACAAAACGGAGAACACGACCUUGAUCGCGAGAUCGAAACCCGAGAGGCAACCUCACUGACUCGAACUCCCUAAAAAAUAAACGAGAAGGUGAUGAGAAGAAGAAAGCAGAGCAGCAGUGGAAUGGAGCAGUCCCUGUCGGAUUUGACCAGCUCGCCGACGAGAUAGAAUCUGACGAGAGCGAAACGAGGAAACGAGGGAGGAGGCGAUUCUCUGAGAUUUUGUUCCCUUUUCCCUGCUUCUGAGUGUCUGCAUUGCUGGUUUUUGGAGAAAGAAGAAGGUGUUGAUAUGGGUCAUUCAUGGCUGCGUUUUCAUGGUUUUAUGCUAUAUUGCGACUGAAGUUUGCUGAGUUUUGAUGGAGGCUUCAAGGUGUUUAAGGGUAUUUGAGGUGGUGGAGAAGAUGGAGAUGAGAUGGGGUAGGGUGGCUGAUGGCGAGGCGUGGCCAGUGGUGAAGCUGAGAGAAGCAGCUACCUUCUUUAUUUAAGGGAGAUGAGAAGAAAACUUUUGUGAAUCGCCGUUCUUCUCUGCUAAAGAAGAUGUCCAGCUACUGUGAGUGUGUUUUGUGCUAAGAAAAAGCCAUGGAAAUGGCUGCUUUCCUUAGAGAAGAAGCAAAUGAUUCGAUCGGGGGUGGGUCAUUUUUUGUUGUAAACGGCGGAAGAGUUUCUUUCAGGGUCUAAGGUCUAGGGUGUAUCUCCCUUUUUAUCUUUAAAAUGAAGAGUAUGUAGGGUUAGGUUAGUGGGUAUUGGGUAUUGGGCUUGGGUUGUUAUGGGCUAGGUCCAAAAAUUAGGCCUAAAAAUGGGUUGUUUGAGCCCAAAUUUUAUUCCUUCUCCGCGAACGAGACUAAAAAUACGACCUUAUUUACUAAUUAAUCCUACUUAAGUAAAAUAACUAUUAAAAUAAGACUAAUCGUUAAAACAAACCUAUUUUUUUGUAUUUUCAAAUAUUAUAUUAAAAUAAAAAUAAGGUACUAUUUUUGUAUUUUUUUUAGUUUUAUGAAAGGUAUAUAAACUAAAAGCAACUAAAAGAAGAAAUAUUUUUGUAAUUUUUAUUUUGUGUCGAAAUAAAGUAAAAGAGUCAAAAUUAGUUGAAAUAACUAUAUUAGACAUAAACUAAGUAUUUAAAUGCUAAAAUAUGUAAAAUUUUGGGGAGGGUCAAAAAUCACAUGUCUAUACCUCCUUUUUCUACCCCGAAAAGGGUAUUAAGAGAGUUUUUUCCAAUUUAAGUGACAAUCGAAACGGGAUUAUUUAUUUAAAAUUAGAGUUUUCACUUGGGAUAAUUUAUGGUGUCCCACGUUACCGGUUUAAAAUCUUGAAUUGAGAAAAUUGAUUCUUAUUUAUGGUCUGCGAACAGUAAAAUCCGAGUAAGGAAUUCUGUUAAUCCGGGAAUAGGUGCUAGGCAUUUCCGGGUUUCGUUGUUUUAGCACGGUCGCUUUGAUCAUUCUUGGCUUAAUCAAGUUGUUUAAUUACUCAUUUUUACAACCUAUGUGCAUUUACCUUUUUUAAUUAAGAAAUUAUCUUGAAACGGGUCAUGCGUACGUGUACCCAUUUGUUUAGCGCGUCAAAAAAUCGUGUCACACAUACGUGUCCACAAUUAAUAAUGAUUUAUUAUUAAUUUUUAAGAAAGUUCAGCCAAAGUUGCGCGAACGAAUACCCCGGGUUUGUUUUUAGGACCGUAAUUAUGUCACGCGAACGUGUACACAAUCACGGUGAUAGAUUAAAUCGCGCCUAAAGCAAACUACGAAAGUUCAAGGCAUUUUUCUAUGUUAGUCAAGAUAUCAAUGUGAGGGCCAUAAACUAUGUGAUUGGAUGGCACACCACAAUUUUAUUAAAGGGAAAAACAUUUAACUAUGGAUGUUCGUAUUUAAAACUAACUUGAAGUUAAGCAACACAACUACGUCGCGGGAACUGUACUCAUAGUCACAAUUUAUUUAUUUUUAAUCAAUCCUAAAGCAUUUUUGCACUACCAGCAAGUCUGGGUGCUUCAAAGAGAGCUAGGACCUAAGCUCCAAGAAAAGGAAAUGGAAAAAAUAGUAACAUAGCAUAUGGAUAAUCAAUCAUCUAAGAAGACUAAGCCAUAAGGGAGUGAACAGUGAAUGACACAAAUGAAGAAAUUAAAAACGAUAGAAAUCUAUUACAGACUUUCAUCAACCAAGCACGUUAAUAACAUUAGAUAAAACUAAGGCUCACAUGACUGGAAGGCAAUCGUGUCCUAACACUAAUACUAAUGAUAAAACUAACCAAAUUAUCAUGCCUUUAGUUAUUAAGAAAUUGAAGAUAGAUGAGGAUUAAACAAUAUGAUUAACUGGAAGCAACAAUCAUUUAUAACAUUCGAGCUUAACUUCGAAGCCAAAUUUGCUCACAAUCAGGAACUUACAAUCACUAACCACACCUAUUUUAACAUUCCUUUAGACUAAAGCUCAAAAUAAAUAAGAAAUAAGAAUUUUCACCUCAUCUACUAAGUGAAACAAUUUGUGUUGAAAUUAUUUAUCCAAAAAGCAAUAGAGAGAUGAUCAGAGAGGUACCUUAGUGGGAAAAUUCCUUUAAUGAUAAUGAAGAAUCUCCAAAAGUGGGAGUACAACACGAACAUAUACCAAAGAUCGUGAAUAGACCAGAAAUCAUGUCGUCAAUCUCGGCGGACUCAACUCGGACCUCAACUUAACUCGUGAACCUCGAACGACGACGAACUCGUUAGCUCCAAACAGAUCUCACACGAAAUCUAUUUUGAAACCAGAGAAUUGACUCAAGCAGAGAAGCAAGAACUGAUCUUAACUUGAGUAUAUUCAAGACAUUAAACACCUCCGAGAUGGUCAAACCAACACCCCCACCGUUCCUUCUCAUCCCUUUCUAUAGCUGUAUUUUCCAUUAUUAUUUUCUCCAAUGGUUCCCCUCCCUUUUCUGUUGUUAUUCCCCUAUCUCCCUCCCAUGUCCGUCUAUAUUUAUAUGUAUGUGCUGAAGAGUCUCGUUGGGGGGCAAGGGGGUCUGAUUUUUUGAUCUUUACGGCUGAAGAAGAAGAAGCUUAGACGAGGGGGCCGUUCCUGCUUGGUUGUUCGAAUGGAGGUGAGGUGAAGAAGCAGGGAGUGGUUGUGUUUGUGUGUUUCAUGUUAAGAAGAAACCAUGGAAAAUGGCUACUUCAUUCUGAAGAAUAUGAAGAUCGACAGAGGGGAUCGUGUGUUAGCGGCGAAUUUCCAGCCCUUCUUCUAGGUCUUCUUCUGAUUUGUGUUAGCUUCCUUAAGGAUUUUUAGGUUAGCUCCCCCAUUGAAAAAGAAGAACGGCGGGGGGGGGGGGAGUCUAUUCUGUGGUAAACAGUGGAUCCCCCUAUAGGUUUUAGGGUUGUUUUAAGCUUCUUUUUAGGGUUUUAGGGGUAUUGGGCUUGAGUUGUUAUGGGCUAGGUCCGAAAAAAUAUUUUUGUAAUUUUUAUUUUUGAUAAAAUAAAGUAAAAGAGUCAAAACUAAUUGAAAUAUCGAUAUUAGGCCUAAACUAAAUAUUUUACGCUAAAAUGGGUGAAAUCUCGGGGAGGGUCAAAAAUCACAUGUCUACUGCUGCCCCUCUUUGACUGGAAAUACGAAGUAUUUACAGACAAAGAACGACUAGGUAGGUUUUUUGACCCGACCUUUAUUUAAGGAGACCAAAAACUAAGAGAAAGGAAAAUGUGACCUAGCCCUGGUAUCUGAGUUGCCUACAUAUCCUUGGUUAUAAAGGAAUCAGGCCAUAUGUGGUUUAGAAGUAGAAGCAGUGAUAGAGUAUACUAAGGUGGAGAGCCGGUUGAGGUUCCGUUCAGCAACCGGUUAUUAAAACAAAAUCAAAAAAUGAAAAAGACUAACUAAGCUUGUCAACUAUGAGUUACAAGAUUCCUAUCUGUAAGUCUUCUGAAGCUUGAUCUUGGGUCUUGAAUGGUUCUUUAUGCAGACUUUAGAUUUGAACCUCGAUGCUUGCUACCUGCAGGUGCUAGUUCAUUCUUCUUCGGAUCAAUAUCGGCCAUGCAAUGCUCGUAAUUUCAAUCGUGUCUUCAGCAGUUCACAUUUUUCUCUACUUCUGCAUUUUGGAUUCGCUACUUUCUUUCUUUCUUUUUAUUCUGGAUUGAGACUAACUUCUGUUGAUCAUCUCGGACUAUUGACUCGCAUUCUUGCCGCGAACUUAUGCUACUUCUAACUUGAAUUGAAUUCUGAAAUGACUUCCCUUGUUCUCCAAGUGGUUGCCUGAUUGCCAAAACUUAAACUGUAUUCCCUUGUUCUCCAGGUGGGCGCCUAUUGUCAAAACUCGAACUGUAUUCCCUUAUCUCCCGGUGGGCGCCUGAUUGCCAAAAACUCGAACUGUAUUCCCUUAUUUUCCAAGUGGGUGCCUGAUUGUCGAAACUUGAACUGUAAUACCAUGUUCUCUAGGUGGGCGCCUGAUUGCCAAAACAUGAAUUGUAUUCCCUUGUUCUCCAGGUGGGCGACUGAUUGCCAAAAAUGCGAACUAUAUUCCCUUAUUUUACAGGUGGGCGCCUGAUUGUCAAUACUUGAACUGUAUUCCCUUGUUCUUCAAGUGGGCGUCUGAUUGACAAAACUUGAACUGUAUUCCUUUGUUCUUCAAGUGGGCGCCUAAUUGCCAAAACUUGAACUAUAUUCCCUUAUCUCCUGGUGGGCGCCUGAUUGCCAAAAACUCGAACUGUAUUACCUUGUUUUCUAGGUUUGUGCCUGAUUGCCAAAACUUGAACUGUAUUCCCUUGUUCUCCAGGUGGGCGCCUGAUUGUAAAAACUUAAACCGUAUUCCCUUGUUCUCCAGGUGGGCGCCUGAUUGCCAAAACUUG
rnacentral:lncRNA from 1 species